GCGGCGGACGGGUGAGUAAUGCUUGGGAAUCUGCCCAAUAGUGGGGGAUAACGUGUGGAAACGCACGCUAAUACCGCAUACGUCCUACGGGAGAAAGCAGGGGAUCUUCGGACCUUGCGCUAUUGGAUGAGCCCAAGUCAGAUUAGCUAGUUGGUGAGGUAAUGGCUCACCAAGGCGACGAUCUGUAGCUGGUCUGAGAGGAUGAUCAGCCACACUGGGACUGAGACACGGCCCAGACUCC
rnacentral:rRNA from 1 species